AUUGAACGCUGGCGGCAGGCUUAACACAUGCAAGUCGAGCGGAGAGAGGUAGCUUGCUACUGAUCUUAGCGGCGGACGGGUGAGUAAUGCUUAGGAAUCUGCCUAUUAGUGGGGGACAACAUUUCGAAAGGAAUGCUAAUACCGCAUACGUCCUACGGGAGAAAGCAGGGGAUCUUCGGACCUUGCACUAAUAGAUGAGCCUAAGUCGGAUUAGCUAGUUGGUGGGGUAAAGGCCUACCAAGGCGACGAUCUGUAGCGGGUAUGAGAGGAUGAGCCGCCACACUGUGACUGAGACACGGCCCAGACUCCUACGGGAGGCAGCAGUGGGGAAUAUUGGACAAUGGGCGCAAGCCUGAUCCAGCCAUGCCGCGUGUGUGAAGAAGGCCUUAUGGUUGUAAAGCACUUUAAGCGAGGAGGAGGCUACUUUAGUUAAUACCUAGAGAUAGUGGACGUUACUCGCAGAAUAAGCACCGGCUAACUCUGUGCCAGCCGCCGCAGUAAGAC
rnacentral:rRNA from 1 species